CAGACGAAUAAUUUCAUGAUGUUGAGAUCUGAUAUCCAAUAGAAUCAGAUACACAGACAUACGGAAAACAUUAGCUCAUGCAGUUAUUGGAUUACGUGAUAUAGUCAUCCGAUUUGUCAUCUGUCAUAAACAGGUUCUGUUUUUUUUUAUUUCAAAGUAGGCUAUCCAGUUUAUGGUUACACGAGGACUUGGAAUAUGAUUUUCGAAAACAUUUGAGUACAUCUUACACAUUCGUAGGGAACACACGUGAUACGUUACACUAAACUUGAAUGGCGCCGGCUCGAUGUCCCAAACGACCAACAAAUGCAUAUUUAAUGUGGAUGAACACUUUAGGACGUCGUCGCAUCAAGAUGCUACAUCCCCAAUACAACUUCACCCAAACCGCCAAAAAAGGCAGUGAUCUAUGGGCGAAGAUGUGCGCGUACGAUAAAUCUAUGUGGCAAACAUAUGCGUCCGUGGCAAUGAUUCAAUAUAAAGCAAGGCUGAGCGCUUGGAAGUCCCAACAAGCUCAAAUGAAGUCGUGCACAGUCUCAGGUUGUCCCUCGUCUAAACAAUGAAGCAGCAGCUAUGCAGUCACAGUUCAAUAGAAAUUACAGACUACACUUUUUUAAAGAAAUUUAAUGUUUCGGAUGUUAUAAAUUGAGAAUAUAUACGCACAUACAUAGACAAAAA